CCUACGGGUGGCAGCAGUGAGGAAUAUUGGUCAAUGGGAGAGAUCCUGAACCAGCCAAGCCGCGUGAGGGAAGACGGCCCUAUGGGUUGUAAACCUCUUUUGUCGGAGAACAAAACCCGGGACGUGUCCCGGACUGCGUGUAUCCGAAGAAAAAGCAUCGGCUAACUCCGUGCCAGCAGCCGCGGUAAUACGGAGGAUGCGAGGGUAAUCGGGAUUUAUGGGGUUUAAGGGGUGCGUGGGGGGUCCGUUGAGUCAGCGGUAAACUUGCGGGGGUCAACCCCGCCGAGCCGUUGAGACUGGCAGACUAGAGUUGGCGAGAGGUACGCGGAAUGCGCGGUGUAGCGGUGAAAUGCAUAGAUAUCGCGAAGAACUCCGAUUGCGAAGGCAGCGUACCGGCGCCAGACUGACGCUGAGGCACGAAAGCGUGGGGAUCGAACAGGAUUAGAUACCCGGGUAGUC
rnacentral:rRNA from 1 species